rnacentral:rRNA from 1 species
CACGUAGGGUGCGAGCGUCGUCCGGAAUUAUUGGGCGUAAAGAGCUCGUAGGCGGUGUGUCGCGUCGGCCGUGAAAACCUGCAGCUUAACUGUGGGCUUGCGGUCGAUACGGGCAUCACUGGAGUUCGGCAGGGGAGACUGGAAUUCCUGGUGUAGCGGUGAAAUGCGCAGAUAUCAGGAGGAACACCGGUGGCGAAGGCGGAUCUCUGGGCCAUUACUGACGCUGAGGAGCGAAAGCGUGGGGAGCAAACAGG